UACACUUGCAAAAUGUAUUCAACAGACUAGUUUGAGGAUAUCUACAUCAUGCUAUUUUGAGUAAAUAACACAGACUUGUUUAGUAAUUUCAAAGGACCACCAUGCGUUGCAAGACAUGUCACAGUGAGAUAAAUAUCGAAUAAUUAGCUUGUCAAAUUUUGCAUAUAAAGCUAUCUUCAGAUGUAUGUAUAGUUUUGCACGUUCAAUAUCACUUACUUCACUAUUUAGAGCAGUAGUGGCAGUUCCGCGACU
rnacentral:misc_RNA from 1 species